AUGAUUUGUAUUUUCAUAAUAACAAUGCUGCGAGAAUUGCUGUUGGUCUGCGCUUAGGAUCCCAAUUAUGCGAGGAGUAUAGGUGUGUCUGUGGUGAGUUAGUUAAAAAGGACGGUUUGCAUGGAUUAUCAUGCAAGCUUAAGACAGGGAUAACGCCGCGACAUGAUUCUGUAAACAGAGAGUUUUCUCAUGCUUUUUCUGCCGCAGAUUUUCCAACUUUGUUACAGCCACCAGGAAUUUCUAGAGAUGACGGUAAAAGACCUGAUGGUAUGACUCUAAUUCCGUGGAGUCAUGGUAAAUCUCUUUUAUGGGAUGUGACAGUGCGUGAUACGUUGGCUCCUUCAUACAUUGGUGAAACUUCUAAAAAAGCACGCUCAGUUGCAGAAAAAGCGGAGAGAUUAAAGCAUAAUCAUUAUAGAAAACUUAAAGAAAAUUAU